AUUGAACGCUGGCGGCAUGCUUUACACAUGCAAGUCGAACGGCAGCGGGGAGGAGCUUGCUUCUCUGCCGGCGAGUGGCGAACGGGUGAGUAAUACAUCGGAACGUGUUGAGAAGAGGGGGAUAACCACCCGAAAGGGUGGCUAAUACCGCAUAAAUUCUGAGGAAGAAAGCUGGGGACCUGGGAAUAGGCCUAGCGCUUUUUGAGCGGCCGAUGUCGGAUUAGCUAGUUGGUGAGGUAAAGGCUCACCAAGGCGAAGAUCUGUAGCGGGUCUGAGAGGAUGAUCCGCCACACUGGGACUGAGACACGGCCCAGACUCCUACGGGAGGCAGCAGUGGGGAAUUUUGGACAAUGGGGGCAACCCUGAUCCAGCCAUGCCGCGUGUAUGAAGAAGGCCUUAGGGUUGUAAAGUACUUUUGUUAGGGAAGAAAAGUCAGCUGUGAAUAAUGGCUGAUACUGACGGUACCUAAAGAAUAAGCACCGGCUAACUACGUG
rnacentral:rRNA from 1 species